CAGAGAUGGCUAAGGCGGCUUUCUAUCAGCAAACUGCAUGGAUCACAUAUACCCAUGAUAUAUGUAUAUGUGAUAUACGGCUACUUGGAAACAAACAAAAAAAUUCAAGAGGAGAAGCAUUAUAAAACAGAUAUGCAAGCAUUUCUGGAGGACUCAGU
rnacentral:lncRNA from 1 species